UACGAAGGGGGCUAGCGUUGCUCGGAAUCACUGGGCGUAAAGCGCACGUAGGCGGUCUCUUAAGUCAGGGGUGAAAUCCUGGAGCUCAACUCCAGAACUGCCUUUGAUACUGGGAGUCUUGAGUUCGGGAGAGGUGAGUGGAACUGCGAGUGUAGAGGUGAAAUUCGUAGAUAUUCGCAAGAACACCAGUGGCGAAGGCGGCUCACUGGCCCGGUACUGACGCUGAGGUGCGAAAGCGUGGGGAGCAAACAGG
rnacentral:rRNA from 1 species